rnacentral:rRNA from 1 species
CUACGGGCCGCACCAGUGAGGAAUAUUGCGCAAUGGGGGAAACCCUGACGCAGCGACGCCGCGUGGAUGAUGAAGGCCUUCGGGUCGUAAAGCUCUGUCCUCAAGGAAGAAUUUUGACGGUACUUGAGGAGGAAGCCCCGGCUAACUACGUGCCAGCAGCCGCGGUAAUACGUAGGGGGCUAGCGUUAUCCGGAAUUACUGGGCGUAAAGGGUGCGUAGGUGGUCUGACAAGUCAGGGGUGAAAGGCUACGGCUCAACCGUAGUAAGCCCUUGAAACUGUCGGACUUGAGUGCAGGAGAGGAGAGUGGAAUUCCAAGUGUAGCGGUGAAAUGCGUAGAUAUUGGGAGGAACAUCAGUGGCGAAGGCGACUUUCUGGACUGUAACCGACACUGAGGCACGAAAGCGUGGGGAGCAAACAGGAUUAGAUACCCUGGUAGUC